rnacentral:rRNA from 1 species
CCUACGGGAGGCAGCAGUGAGGAAUAUUGGUCAAUGGACGAGAGUCUGAACCAGCCAAGCCGCGUGAAGGAUGACUGCCCUAUGGGUUGUAAACUUCUUUUAUAUGGGAAUAAAAUGUUCCACGUGUGGGACUUUGUAUGUACCAUAUGAAUAAGGAUCGGCUAACUCCGUGCCAGCAGCCGCGGUAAUACGGAGGAUCCGAGCGUUAUCCGGAUUUAUUGGGUGUAAAGGGCGUGUAGGUGGAUUGUUAAGUCGGUUGUGAAAGUUUGCGGCUCAACCGUAAAAUUGCAGUUGAAACUGGCAGUCUUGAGUACAGUAGAGGUGGGCGGAAUUCGUGGUGUAGCGGUGAAAUGCUUAGAUAUCACGAAGAACUCCGAUUGCGAAGGCAGCUCACUGGACUGCAACUGACACUGAGGCUCGAAGGUGUGGGUAUCGAACAGGAUUAGAUACCCCUGUAGUC